rnacentral:rRNA from 1 species
UACGUAGGUGGCGAGCGUUGUCCGGAUUUACUGGGCGUAAAGGGAGCGUAGGCGGACUUUUAAGUGAGAUGUGAAAUACCCGGGCUCAACCUGGGGGCUGCAUUUCAAACUGGAAGUCUAGAGUGCAGGAGAGGAGAGUGGAAUUCCUAGUGUAGCGGUGAAAUGCGUAGAGAUUAGGAAGAACACCAGUGGCGAAGGCGACUCUCUGGACUGUAACUGACGCUGAGGCUCGAAAGCGUGGGGAGCAAACAGG